GACGUUGGACAUGGGACAUUUCCCAGCAUCGUACCUCCACAAGCCAUAAAAUACCUGCUUCUUUCGCUCCUGACAUAACAGCAAAUGCUCCUGACGUUCAGCCUUUGAGAUUAUUAUGUAGUGUUAAUUCAUCAUCUCUUCAAAAUGAAUUUUGAAGAUUUAACCACUUACAAACAACUCUCUCAAGAUAGCCUGGCAUUAUCAGCAUCUCAGAAAAGUGGGCCUCUGCCACCCGCCUUAUCAGCGAGGAAUGGCUCAAACACUGUUUGCUGAUAGAGGUACGACCGUCACUCGUUGCUGGUUGGAAGCUGCUGCUCUCCUGGCAGCCACCUACGCUUCUUCUAAGGGCAUCAUCAGCAGAGUUGUAGUUUAGCAGCUGAUGAUAAGAACUUCUCCUGUGGUUCCUCAGAAAAGCAGGCAUGUAUUCAUCAGUAGGAGUGUUUGCUCAAAGAAUAACGUCGUGCGAACGAAUGGUGUGAUCCUGCCAGCUGGGCUGGCUUGUGCAAACAACUCAGAAACAUGUUCCUUGAGAAAACCCCUUCUGAAGGAAGCAAAAAAACUUCUCUGUACAGAAACCACAUGGUUUUGUCAAGCUGCAGCCAGCUUGUUUUCAGGACACGCCAAAUUUUUGUUCACAGUUGAGGCAAACACACCGAUCUGGUGUCAAUAAAUGUCUUGAUUCAAUUCAGUUUUUGAAAACAGUGUGAUGGCCACAGCCAGAUUCAUUGGUGUCAUUAGCACCGGUUCUUACACAGACUGCUUAAACCAUGGUUUUGUUUUGACAUAACUUACAAGAUCACUUUUCAUCACUACCAGUAACUGCUUUGAGAAAUCUCUGGAGUUGAUAGUCACAUAGACUUACUGCAUUAACACUGUAUGCUGUAAGAAAUUGUACUGGAUUUUGUUUUCCUGCAAAGAUGUCUGGUGCAGCUUUGUGGGUAACUGCUCCAUGUAAAACAUGUUUUGGGCUUGAGGAAAACUGGGUAUAAAAUCCUUUUUUUACUGUUACAGAAAUUCAUAGCUGUAAUUUUUAGUUUCUGCAAUGCUGGUGAGGGCAAUCCCGCUCUGCCGUGAGCCAUCGGGUGCGUCACACGCUUGGGUGCUCCAUCAGGUCGCUCUGCUCUGGGGCAGCUCCCCUUAGGCAAUGUUUUCGCUACACGUUUGCAUCCCACUGAUGGUAAUUAACUAAUUUCUCAUUUUUCUGUGUUUACUCACCUGGGUGGAAGGAGCCCUGGAACCGCCUGGAGCAGAGGAGCACCCGGGCUCUGCCCUCAGUCCUCAUCCCUUCCCUGGAGCUGGGACCCAUGAGAGGCUGCUCGAGGCCACGAGCGAAGGGACCUUACAUAAGAGCUGCCUACGUCCUCCCCCUUUCCCGAACAGUUGGAGGAAAGCUGAACACAUGCUCUCCUAUCGUGUCUCUUCUGUGGAUAAGACAAGUGAAGGUAACAGCUGGUUAAUUCAUCAUUUGACUGCAAAAGGUUGGUGGAAUAAUGUACUUGAGAAAGGCUAAUGGGUAGCACAACACUGGUUUGUGCCGGAAGCUUUGGUGGGUUACAGAUUAAGACAGAGGGCAUGGUGUUUUCCAGAUUUUUCAAAAAGCUGACCUUUUGGGAUCACUCUAAAGUAAUAUUCUGCCUUUGAUCUCUUCUUGUCUAUAGUAAGAGGUAAUUUCUGCAGCUUUUAAUGUGUUUUAUUUCUCAUGC